rnacentral:lncRNA from 1 species
AUGCAGAGAGAGGACCCGACUGUUUAUGUCAAAGUAGCAAGCAAAGCCCUGCAGUGCUGGGGACAAGCCGCGCACCCAGAAACCGAAAGCACCGUCCCACCAGCUGCGGAGAGGCUGGACCAGAUCACUGCUACCUGCUUCUGUCCUUCCAGCCUGGUCCUUCUCACUCUGAGAACUGUGUUCUCUGCUAACUCAACCCCCUCAGUUCAAACAUCCACCACCACACCACCACCACCACCAUCAUCACCACCAGCAUCACCAGCAUCACCAGCAUCACCACCACUGCUACCACAAACCCCACAAAGCCACAGAACUCCUUCAGCAAGUACACCUUCCUGUAUCUGAGACUGGAUGACGUAUGUUUCCUGAGUUCUCCCAUCAUAGCCUUAUUCCAUGUUUUUAUCCCAUCAUAGCCUUAUUCCCUGUUGAAUGCCUCUUUCUCCUCCUGAGCUGUAAGAAUUGGAAGAAUAAAAGGCUUCUUUGGUCUUGAAGUCAUCAUUGCCUGGAUGGCUCCGGCAUAGAACCUGCCACACAGUAGGUGCUCAGAAACAUUUGCUGAAUGAAUGAAUGAAUGAGUGAGUGAGUGAGUGCCUGAAUGAAUAACCACGCAGCAUCCUCUCCAUGAGACUUUUUCCAGAGAAAUCCUCGUGGAAUCCCAAUAUUAAGAGCAGACAAGCUGCAGAGGAAGUAGUUUUUCCUGAGCAAUUGCCAUUCAUCUAAUGGCCAUCAUAAUUCUUACAAAUCAAACAUUUCAUUUUUGCAUUAAGUGCUAGCAAGUGCUGGGCUUAUUUGUGACCCAGCACAGCCCGUGUGUAGGUUUUUACGAUGUGCAAUCAAGCUUGAUUCCUCCUGCUACUUUCUUUCAUUAUUAUUUGUCUAAUUUUUAUUAUGCACUUAUCAUUUUAUAACACUUGUAAACUCUUUUUGGCCAUUUUAUGAAUUCUUUUUCUUAGUGCUUUUCUUUUCAAAAACUUUUCAUUAAACACAACUCAAAGCAAGUACAGGUGUGGAGAGAUGUGUGUAAGGGACCCCAGGUGCUCAUCUCCCAGUUUAAGCAGUCCUCAACAUGAAACCAAUCUCGUUCUCCUCCCCGCUGCUGCAUGUCCACUCUGAUUAUUGUGAAGCAAAUUUCAGAGAGUAUAUACAUUAUAAACAUCUUAGAUGAUUCUCUAAAGAGUAGAGGCUUUUAAAAAUAUGACUUCAAUAUUCUUAUGCUUAAAAAUAAAAAAUAAUCUCUUAUUACCAAGUAUUAUUGUUUACAUUUUGCAAAUUGCCAUUUCUUUAACAGGUUUUUUUUUUUUUCAAUCUAAAAUCCUAAUAAAGUGUGCACAGAACUGCUUAGUAGCACUCUCAUGUCUCUUUCGACCUCUUCACUCCCCAUCUAUGUAUUUCCUUUUGUGCUUGAAACUUCCUGGGGAAGAACUGGGCCACUGGUCUUGCAGAGAGUCCCACAGUCUGGAUCUUGCUGACUGCAUCCACAAAAUGCUGUCUACCGAGUUUCUGUGUUCCCUACAUUCUUUGCGAAUUGACAGGUAAUUUUAGAGACUUGGCCAAAUUCAAGUUCUGCUUUUUUGGCAAGAUUGCUUCAUAGGUCCAUCCACAGUAGUUAGAUUUGUGUUUAAUUUAGUCCCCCUCUCUGUCUGUCCCUUUUUUGCUGUCAAAUUCUCUCCAACUUCCCUGCCCUGCUCUACCCAUGCUGGGUGCAGCAAGUCCUCUCUCUCUCCCCAUCCUUACAUCUCCCUUUCCCACUGUCUCAUAUUGAAUAACUUUGGAUGGGCCUCAAUCCCAAUGCUUUUGGAUGCUAUUUUUAAGGGCAAUGCAUCUUCCAUAUUUUCAGAGUGCAGGUGGUCGUUUUGCAGCUUCCCGAGCCUGAUGGCCCUUGCAUGCCUCCCGCUGUUGUGUUCGGGGCACUUGUCUGGUCCUUCCCUUUCACUUGCUGCUCUUGCCCCACCUGCCCCAUGGGGAUUCUAAGUCCUGUAGGAUUUUAUCCAGGAAGCCGCAUUGUUUGGUGCAGCCCUCUGGCUUCAGCCCCACUCAGGUGGGGUGAAUUCCAGGGUGAGCCCCUGGGGUCCUCCCGUCUCAGGGCUGCCCAAGCCCCCACUGACUAGUGAUGCCUGUCUCCCUGAGGUGACCCUGCACCUCUAUGGCUGUGGGUGCUGUGGUUCCACAUAUUUUGGGUUCAUAGGGGACACUCUGCCACAUGCUUGCUGCCCACGUUGCCCUUCGGGUUCAGGUUUUGCCAUCAUCACUGCUCUGCCCGCUCAUUAUUAUGGGAUUCUAGAAUAUUUAAAUACCACAUCUUUGCUGCUUCAUCUUUCCAGAAUCCUUUUAAGCUAUCCAAACUCCUUUUGGAUGGAGGAAGGUAAUAAAACAGGUAAAUAAAUAAAAUACAGGGCUCUCCCUCAUAUGAGCUAUGAUAAAAAAUAUUGUGAAUGCUGACUUUUCACAAAAGACAUAUUGUGCUAAUCCCCUUCACAAUACUGCUCCUUGUCUGAAUACACUUGCUCUCGCCAAACAUCAAGCAGUAGUCUAGCUAGAGUUCUCUGGUCGGGGGUACAGGGCUACCUAAGACUGGGCUUUGAAUUAUUCUGUUUGUUGAAUUUCUGUAACGUUUUACUAAUCCUUAUAUUUUUCCCACUUCCUGUGAAUAGUGAAAAGUGUGAUUGUGACAGUUAACUGAUUGUAGCAACUUGAGUGAGAAAUGCCCAACUAAAUUGGAUCAGCACAGUUCUGGACGUGGCUGAGGGGAUUUACUGGUGACAGAAGACCCAGCCUGGGUAUGAGUGACAGCAACCAAUGGGCUUGUUGCCUGAAUGGAAUAAAAAGGAAAGGAAGAAGGAAGGCAGCUUCCGUUCCUUUGGAGGAGUGCGGUCUUCACCUUUGCCUUGGAUGUCGUCUCCUGGCUUCCAGAGAAGACCCUUCAGCCUCCUGAUACAGACUCACAUGGGACACUGCAGUGAGCCCCAGGCUGCAGUUGGAUCCUUCUGUCUCUAGGGCACAGACACCCUCUGCAAUCUUCCACACCUGAUGCUGCGGGCGGCCACUGUACCCCAAUCUUGUCGAUCCUUAUAUAUUGGUGUACCUUAUAUUAAGUCUAUUUCUCUAGUGAGCACUGAGUGAUAGAGUGAUAUGUAGAGUUUGACCCAACAAUUCCAUGUUAGGUUCUCUCCUACAGAAAUAAAAGCACUUAUGCAUAAAAGUUGUGAUAAACUAAAACUCUUGGAACAUUUCUGACAGUAUCAACACACUGCAAAUAUCUUGACAACACAUCUACUGGGCAGUACUUUAAUAAAAUUUGGUGCCCCUUGCUAUUGCUCUAUACAUUAAAGGCAAAAUUAAAAAUAAAGGUGUAUACGCCAUUCUCUUUUUUAUUUAAAACAUAUCUUGGGCAUCUUCUAGGUGAGCACAUAUAGCUAUUUAUUAUUCUUUAGUACGGGUAUUAUUCUUUAGCUCAUGAGAAUGAGAUUAGAGGAAGGAAGUGAGUGCGGAUUAUUUUCUUCUUAUACAUCUCUCUGUUUGAGUUGUUAAAAUGAUCAUGUAUCACUUUUAUUACUAAAAAUGUCUGAUAAAGAGAAACUUGUGACAGUGUUUGUUCAAAGAGGCCUGACUCCUUAUUUGCAAACAGAAAAAGACAAAGUUGUCUGGAACCAACUCUAAAUAAGAUGAUUCAAGAUGAUAAAACAAUUCAGUGACAAACUGAAGAUGCGACUUCAAACUAAUGAGUCUGCUUUUUGUUUCUACAAAGCUUUCUGUUUUUACAUAUAGAUGAUAGCAUUGGAAUAAUCAUACGGUUCCAGAAUUGAAGAAGGUGACAUUUGAAUUCUUAUGUUCUGGCAUAUAAAAAUACAAACAUCAGUUUGUAUGUACUACUGACACAUUUGCUACACAUUUAUAUCUAUGGGUGUGGGUAAAGAGUGACCCUAAUUUAUGUGAAUUAGGUACAGAGAAAGAGAAUAAAGGCAAAUGUAAUAUGUUCACCAGUGACCCCCGCCACUGGAGGGCCACAGUUCAUUCUAACUUACAAUAUUCUCUGCCAGUCUUUAUUUUUUAAUGUUAAUACACCUUUUUAACUCUCAUUGUUAUUUAUUACUCUGACUAAAGAGUCUUGUGACUCUUCAUUAUUCAGAUGUCAUUUAAAAAUCAUAUUGACAUACUUUCCCUUGUCACACUAGCCUUGUGAGACAAGCAUUUUAAGUGUUACAAGGAGGUGUUGUUACCAUUACAAAGGUUAUUAUAGGAAGGAUAAAAGGACUUCGUUGGGAACAGUAACCCCAUACAUGAGACAAAAAUGUUACACAGUUCUAGAAGCACUGUAACAAGAGUGGAGGGUACAUAAAUGAUGUCGGGUCACUAGAUUAGUGCAGACAAGAGAAGGAAACAUGUGAGCCCAAGUUCCCUCUAUGGACAUAAACUGGGAAAUGCAGGAAUCUGCAGCAUGACACACGGGGACAGAACAGGGUGCAAACAGAUCUUGUGACUGGCUAUCUACAGAGCCCUGGGACUGGGUCCAGCUACUUUGAUCUCUAGAGAAGCAAGGCAGCAUCGUCGUGUAAGGCUAAUUUGGCAGAGUUCAUGGGGAGUGCAGAGUUGGUCCUAACGUGGGCUGCCUGGAUGACCUGCAGGGGUGGGAAGCAGGUCACACGAGGCCUUGGAUGCCUGCCAUUUCCCUACACAGGAACAUUUAUAUUGCUUUGAGAUUUUUUUUUUCUUUUUAAUUCUCUUUUUAUUUUAAAGAGAAAAAAACAAUAACAACAGCAAUGACAAAAACAAAACAACACAAGAGCAAUAAAAAUGAUACAAAAUUUCAAAAACAGAUGAUAGGCAUUAACAGUGGUCAUUGUGUUAUAUAUUAUCUUCACUAAAGGUGCUCAGAUUGCCAGAUGUAAGAAUGCAAGAUUUAUCAAGCAGUUAAAGAGAAUAAAAUGUAAUAAAAAAUAGAAACAAUACAGUGUUUCACUAAACAAGACGGUAGGAAUUCAACAAUGGUUGUUAUAUUGCAUAUUGUUGUCUUCAAAUUAAUUGUUCAGAGUACCAGAUAUAAGCACGUGAAAUUGGUCAAAAAAAUUUAAAGCAUUAACUGUUCCUUUCAAUAAACCAAUAGACAUCAGCAGUACAAUCCCAGCUAUCCUUGU